rnacentral:misc_RNA from 1 species
GUGAAUCAUCGAAUUUUUGAACGCAUAUUGCACUCUCUGGUAUUCCGGAGAGUAUGCCUAUUUGAGGGUCAGUUGAAAUAAUAUAAAGUCUAAGAUUUGUCUGAAUUUAAAAUGGGUUGUCCGUGGUUUGUGGUCGCCUAGAAUCCGAGACAAACUAAUUUGCUUGGUUUGCUUGAUACUUUCAGUUAGCUCGUAAGUUAGCCAGGGAUCAUCGGGCGUGGUAGG